UGUGGAGCUUGAUCUUGUAGUUCUGGUACAACUUCCUAAUCUUCUACAGUCAAACAUUUCGAGUCCUCUCAUGAUCUGAAAAGUCAUACUUUUUUUGUACAAAGUUAUUAGAAGUCAGUUAUAAAAUUAUUUUAAUCAAACAUAGUAUAAACAUAUCACAUGCAUAUAUAUAAGAUACACUUACCCAAACCUCCUCCCACAUUCGGUCUUUGACACCAGCAUCCAUUAAUUACCAAUUUAUGAGCAGUAUGGAAAUGAUGUU
rnacentral:lncRNA from 1 species